ACUCCUACGGGAGGCAGCAGUGAGGAAUAUUGGUCAAUGGAGGGAACUCUGAACCAGCCAUCCCGCGUGUAGGAAGACGGCCUUAUGGGUUGUAAACUACUUUUAUACAGGAAGAAACGUACCCUCGUGAGGGUGCCUGACGGUACUGUAGGAAUAAGGGACGGCUAAAUACGUGCCAGCAGCCGCGGUAAUACGUAUGUCUCAAGCGUUACCCGGAAUCACUGGGUGUAAAGGGUUCGUAGGCGGAAAUUUAAGUCAGGUAUGAAAGACCGGAGCUCAACUCCGAGUUUGUGCUUGAAACUGGAUUUCUAGAAUUAGGGAGAGGUAAGCGGAAUUCUAAGUGUAGGGGUGCAAUCCGUAGAUACUUAGAGGAACACCAAAAGCGAAGGCAGCUUACUGGAACUAUAUUGACGCUGAUGAACGAAAGCGUGGGUAGCGAAAAGGAUUAGAUACCCUGGUAGACUGUC
rnacentral:rRNA from 1 species